rnacentral:rRNA from 1 species
GACGAACGCUGGCGGCGUGCUUAAUACAUGCAAGUCGAACGAAGUGGCGAACGGGGGAGUAAUACGGGGGUAACCUGCCCUCCCUUUCGGGAUAAGCCUUGGAAACGGGGUGUAAUACUGAAUACAGGUGGAGGGGCUCGUGGCCUAUAGGCUUGGUGGUGGGGUGAUGGUCUAUCAAGGCGGUGACGGGUAGCCGGCCUGUGAGGGUGACCGGGCACAGUGGGACUGAGAUACGGCCCAGACUCCUACGGGGGGGAGCAGUGGGGGAUAUUGCACAAUGGGCGAAAGACUGAUGCAGCGACGCCGAGUGGGGUAUGAAGGCUUUAGGGUUGUAAACCUAUUUAGCUAUCGAACGGGUAGGUAGAGAGAAAGCGCCGGCUAACUACGUGCCAGCAGCCGCGGUAAUAC